UACAGAGGGUCUCGAGCGUUAGGCGGAAUCACUGGGCUUAAAGCGUGUGUUAGGCGGGAUACGUUAAAGUGUCUUGUGAAAAUCCCACGGCUCACCCGUGGAACUGGCUGGGGCAUACUGGGCGAUCUUGGGCCACUCAGGGGGCGAAGCGGAACAAGUGGUGGAGCGGUGAAAUGCGUAGAUAUCACUUGGAACGCCGACGGUGAAAACAGCUCGCUGGGAGUGAUGCCGACGCUGGAGACACGAAAGCCAGGGGAGCGAACGGG
rnacentral:rRNA from 1 species